UAAAUGGGGUAAUAAAAUAAAGUUUUGCAUAGUAUUAUAUUUUUUAGUGAUUUGUUGAGAAAUGUUUGGAAAAAAGUUUUUUAUAUGUUUUUUUAUUUUUAAUUUGUUUUAUGAAAUUUCGCAACCUCGCAAAAUAAAAAAUGAUCUCAAGAAAGAUAUGGAAGGGUUGGACGAAGAUCACCAUGUUGAGGAUUUAGAAUCAUCAAAUGAAGAAAACCACGAUAUCUCUAUAAACGACCUAAUUAAAAAUGGCCGAAUAAAGUCAGUUAAGGAAAUUCAAUAAAUACUAAUCAAAAAUUGUUACAAAUGCAUAAAAAUGUUGAGAAGUAUGUUGAAUGCUUUGAUGGUUCAAGGUUUUAUCUUGCUUUUUUUCAAAAAGGAAACCAAUAAAAAGUUCUUCUUAUUGGGUUUCCAACAACAUUAAAGUAUUGUCAAAUAAUGACAAGUAAUUGACAACAAAAUUUUAAUGGCAAGUAAUUGACAACAAAAUGUUUAUAAUGAUAGAGUUUUAAUUGAAUAAAAGAUGCCAAACAAAAUAAUUUGGUCGGAAUUUUCUUUUGGUCUCUAUUGAAUUACAGAUAAAAGCAGCUACAUAGUUUAGCUAUAGAAAGAUGAUAAUGAAAACCUUUUCACCAUUCCAAACGUAUGACAAGUUAAAUAUCCUUUUUCAUGUUACAAUUAUGGUCGAUGAGAGGAAUAGAAUAAAAUGGGUGGAAUUUUUCCAUUAACACCUUCAAAAUUAUUGAUUUAAAAAAAAUAUAUAAAAGAUUAUAUACAACUAUAAACUUAUAAAAAAGUAUAUGCAUACGCACCAUAUAUACGCCAACCAAUAGUACCGUUAGAUGUAUCUAUAUUCGCAUAUCAAUAAGUGUAUAUAUAGAUUAACAGAUAGACGUUUAAAACAUA